rnacentral:rRNA from 1 species
AUUGAACGCUGGCGGCAUGCUUUACACAUGCAAGUCGAACGGUAACAGGCCGCAAGGUGCUGACGAGUGGCGCACGGGUGAGUAAUGCAUCGGAACGUGCCCAGUCGUGGGGGAUAACGCAGCGAAAGCUGCGCUAAUACCGCAUACGCUCUAUGGAUGAAAGCGGGGGACCGUAGGGCCCCGCGCGAUUGGAGCGGCCGAUGUCAGAUUAGGUAGGUGGUGGGGUAAAGGCUCACCAAGCCAACACUCUGUAGCUGGUCUGAGAGGACGACCAGCCACACUGGGACUGAGACACGGCCCAGACUCCUACGGGAGGCAGCAGUGGGGAAUUUUGGACAAUGGGCGCAAGCCUGAUCCAGCAAUGCCGCGUGCAGGAAGAAGGCCUUCGGGUUGUAAACUGCUCUUGUACGGAACGAAACGGUCCUGGUUAAUACCUGGGGCUAAUGACGGUACCGUAAGAAUAAGCACCGGCUAACUACGUGCCAGCCGCCGCGGUAAAAC